CUCGUUUUGAAGGGUUUAAAUGGAGAGGUUCCUUUUUUAGGGGUUUCAUCGAGGGACCUUCAAAGGGGGAAAAUCGUCCAAAAUCCCCCAAAAUGGCGAUUUCCGAGGGAAAACCAAAGGGGGAAAGGGGAGCACUGUGGGGGGAUGAAACUGGAGGGGAAAUGCCGAUUUCCCGGGAUCGGAGGGGUUCAGAUUGAGGUUAAAACUUCCUUUUUUGGGGUUAUUGCAGGGGGUUCGGGAGGGGGAGAAGGAGAGAAGCCCUUUGUCCGUCGUGGAGGGACAGGGGGACAGAGAGGGGACAGAGGGACAGAAGGACAGAGAGGGGACAGAGGGACAGAAGGACAGAGAGGGGACAGGGAGACAGAGAAGGGACAGGGGGACAGAGGGACAGAGAGGGGACAGAAGGACAGGGGGGACAGAGGGACAGAGAAGGGACAGAGGGACACCAGGACACGGGGACAGAGGGACAGAGAGGAGACAGGGAGACAGAGAAGGGACAGGGGGACAGAGGGACAGAGAGGGGACAGAAAGACAGGGGGACAGAGGGACACGGGGACAGGGGGACAGAAGGACAGGGGGACAGCAGGACAGAGGGGACAGAAGGACACGGGGACAGCAGGACAGAGGGACACGGGGACAGCAGGACAGGGAGACAGACGGACAGAGAAGGGACAGAGGGACACCAGGACACGGGGACAGAGGGACAGAGAGGGGACAGACGGACACAGGGACAGGAGGACAGAGGGGACAGAGAGGGGACAGAGGGACAGGGGGACACGGGGACAGCAGGACAGGGGGACAGACGGACAGAGAGAGGACAGACGGACAGAGAGGGGACAGAGGGACAGGGGGACACGGGGACAGCAGGACAGGGGGACAGACGGACNCAGGGGGACAGACGGACAGAGAGAGGACAGACGGACAGAGAGGGGACAGAGGGACAGGGGGACACGGGGACAGCAGGACAGGGGGACAGACGGACGCGGCAGGCACGCCCGGGCAGCCCCGGGGACACCGGGAGCUCCCGGUCCCGGGGACACGCG
ensembl:lncRNA